AACGAACGCUGGCGGCAUGCCUAACACAUGCAAGUCGAACGAGACCUUCGGGUCUAGUGGCGCACGGGUGCGUAACGCGUGGGAACCUGCCCUUAGGUUCGGAAUAACUCCCCGAAAGGGGUGCUAAUACCGGAUAAUGUCUUCGGACCAAAGAUUUAUCGCCUUUGGAUGGGCCCGCGUUGGAUUAGCUAGUUGGUAGGGUAAAAGCCUACCAAGGCGACGAUCCAUAGCUGGUCUGAGAGGAUGAUCAGCCACACUGGGACUGAGACACGGCCCAGACUCCUACGGGAGGCAGCAGUGGGGAAUAUUGGGCAAUGGGCGAAAGCCUGAUCCAGCAAUGCCGCGUGAGUGAUGAAGGCCUUAGGGUUGUAAAGCUCUUUUACCCGGGACGAUAAUGACAGUACCGGGAGAAUAAGCUCCGGCUAACUCCGUG
rnacentral:rRNA from 1 species